rnacentral:rRNA from 1 species
AAAUUGAAGAGUUUGAUCAUGGCUCAGAUUGAACGCUGGCGGCAGGCCUAACACAUGCAAGUCGAACGGUAACAGGAAGCAGCUUGCUGCUUCGCUGACGAGUGGCGGACGGGUGAGUAAUGUCUGGGAAACUGCCUGAUGGAGGGGAUAACUACUGGAAACGGUGGCUAAUACCGCAUAACGUCGCAAGACCAAAGAGGGGGACCUUCGGGCCUCUUGCCAUCAGAUGUGCCCAGAUGGGAUUAGCUAGUUGGUGAGGUAACGGCUCACCAAGGCGACGAUCCCUAGCUGGUCUGAGAGGAUGACCAGCCACACUGGAACUGAGACACGGUCCAGACUCCUACGGGAGGCAGCAGUGGGGAAUAUUGCACAAUGGGCGCAAGCCUGAUGCAGCCAUGCCGCGUGUAUGAAGAAGGCCUUCGGGUUGUAAAGUACUUUCAGCGGGGAGGAAGGUGUUGUGGUUAAUAACCGCAGCAAUUGACGUUACCCGCAGAAGAAGCACCGGCUAACUCCGUGCCAGCAGCCGCGGUAAUACGGAGGGUGCAAGCGUUAAUCGGAAUUACUGGGCGUAAAGCGCACGCAGGCGGUCUGUCAAGUCGGAUGUGAAAUCCCCGGGCUCAACCUGGGAACUGCAUUCGAAACUGGCAGGCUUGAGUCUUGUAGAGGGGGGUAGAAUUCCAGGUGUAGCGGUGAAAUGCGUAGAGAUCUGGAGGAAUACCGGUGGCGAAGGCGGCCCCCUGGACAAAGACUGACGCUCAGGUGCGAAAGCGUGGGGAGCAAACAGGAUUAGAUACCCUGGUAGUCCACGCCGUAAACGAUGUCUACUUGGAGGUUGUGCCCUUGAGGCGUGGCUUCCGGAGCUAACGCGUUAAGUAGACCGCCUGGGGAGUACGGCCGCAAGGUUAAAACUCAAAUGAAUUGACGGGGGCCCGCACAAGCGGUGGAGCAUGUGGUUUAAUUCGAUGCAACGCGAAGAACCUUACCUGGUCUUGACAUCCACAGAACUUUCCAGAGAUGGAUUGGUGCCUUCGGGAACUGUGAGACAGGUGCUGCAUGGCUGUCGUCAGCUCGUGUUGUGAAAUGUUGGGUUAAGUCCCGCAACGAGCGCAACCCUUAUCCUUUGUUGCCAGCGAUUAGGUCGGGAACUCAAAGGAGACUGCCAGUGAUAAACUGGAGGAAGGUGGGGAUGACGUCAAGUCAUCAUGGCCCUUACGACCAGGGCUACACACGUGCUACAAUGGCGCAUACAAAGAGAAGCGACCUCGCGAGAGCAAGCGGACCUCAUAAAGUGCGUCGUAGUCCGGAUUGGAGUCUGCAACUCGACUCCAUGAAGUCGGAAUCGCUAGUAAUCGUGGAUCAGAAUGCCACGGUGAAUACGUUCCCGGGCCUUGUACACACCGCCCGUCACACCAUGGGAGUGGGUUGCAAAAGAAGUAGGUAGCUUAACCUUCGGGAGGGCGCUUACCACUUUGUGAUUCAUGACUGGGGUGAAGUCGUAACAAGGUAACCGUAGGGGAACCUGCGGUUGGAUCACCUCCUUACCUUAAAGAAGC